GUGCGUCGCCCAUCGGGCCCGCUCUGCGCCCGCCUCCCUGCGCCCAGGCGGAGAGAAGACCUCAGACGGCUUUUGUGAACUGGCUGGCAGCCUGGGUGGAGGUGAGGCCCUCAGAGGCUUGCAGACGCCAGCAGCCCGGUUCCACAAGGGCUGAGCUCUCUCCCCACUUCCUUUUCGCUGCCCAGGUUUCCUGUCCUUGAGGACCCGGGCCUGGCGUGUCUGGGACGUCAAUUCGGCAUCUUGUGUUCUCUUCUGGCAUCCAUGAAACAGUGACAGGCCCCAGACCCUUCACAGAUCCUGAAACUACUCGUCUGCCUAAGAGAAUCACGACACUGUUGGCAUAAUCUUCACCUCCUUAUGCUUUCCCUUCCAUGAAGCUGAGAAAGAGGAUGAGUCAAGUAACAUAAUAAACUUCUGAGAAGUGAUCAAGUCCUUGACUGGGAGAAUAACCAUCAUCAUGACACAGUCUCCAUGAGAAAAUUCAGAUUCAUCUUAUGUACUUCAAAUCACAUGCCUUUUCCAGGAAUGCAGCCUCCUAUAGCACCAUCUGGA